rnacentral:rRNA from 1 species
CAGUAGCCACGGGAAUACAGAGGGUGCAAGCGUUAAUCGGAAUUACUGGGCGUAAAGCGCGCGUAGGUGGUUUGUUAAGUUGGAUGUGAAAUCCCCGGGCUCAACCUGGGAACUGCAUCCAAAACUGGCAGGCUAGAGUAGGGCAGAGGGUGGUGGAAUUUCCUGUGUAGCGGUGAAAUGCGUAGAUAUAGGAAGGAACACCAGUGGCGAAGGCGACCACCUGGGCUCAUACUGACACUGAGGUGCGAAAGCGUGGGGAGCAAACAGGAUUAGAGACCCCAGUAGUCCCUGUCUCUUAUAC